UGCAAAAUAUUCCUGAUUUAUUCACAAAGUAUUAACCCUUUAAUCUACUAAUUGUUCUUUGAUAAAUGAACGGUAGGCAAAGUUAGUGAGUCCAAAUUAGAAGAGAUGUUCAUCGAUGGACUUGAUCCCCUCCUUAAUCGCCAAUCUUCAGAUGUGUCCAAACACCUGGCUCGCAGUUUUUUGAAUGGCUCUAUUCAAGAUCAGUCCCACAUACUAUACAGUAUAUGCCCAGAUGUCAGGAAGGAAAGGAGAAGCUGUGUUAUUUUUUUCUUUCAAUCGUGAUCUACUCUACAUGGAUCUGCUGAGAUGGACUAUUGGAGGAUUACACACAUCUACAGACUUUCUUAUGACCACCUGGUUGCUUGAUUCCUUGAGGGUAAGUGGACUGCUGUAAUUGAUCUCUCUUUGGUAAUGCAGAAGCUGAUGUCCAUGUUUACUGACUUGUCAUGCUUGUUGCCACAAGCUAAAUUUGAGUUUGCUAAAGGCGCUUGAUGCAUGAUUUUUACCCAAUAGCAGUGGUUUGGCAUUUAUCGCUUGUUUG